UACGGGAGGCAGCAGUGGGGAAUAUUGCACAAUGGGCGCAAGCCUGAUGCAGCCAUGCCGCGUGUAUGAAAAAGGCCUUCGGGUUGUAAAGUACUUUCAGUCGUGAGGAAGGUGUUAAGGUUAAUAACCUUAGCAAUUGACGUUAGCGACAGAAGAAGCACCGGCUAACUCCGUGCCAGCAGCCGCGGUAAUACGGAGGGUGCGAGCGUUAAUCGGAAUUACUGGGCGUAAAGGGCACGCAGGCGGUUAAUUAAGUUGGAUGUGAAAUCCCCGGGCUUAACCUGGGAAUGGCAUUCAAGACUGGUUAGCUAGAGUCUUGUAGAGGGGGUAGAAUUCCAUGUGUAGCGGUGAAAUGCGUAGAGAUGUGGAGGAAUACCGGUGGCGAAGGCGGCCCCUGGACAAAGACUGACGCUCAUGUGCGAAAGCGUGGGGAGCAAACAGGGAUUAGAUACC
rnacentral:rRNA from 1 species